GACGUAGGGGGCCAGCGUUGUUCGGAAUUACUGGGCGUAAAGAGCUCGUAGGUGGUUUGUCGCGUUGUUCGUGAAAACCGGGGGCUUAACCCUCGGCGUGCGGGCGAUACGGGCAGACUUGAGUACUGCAGGGGAGACUGGAAUUCCUGGUGUAGCGGUGGAAUGCGCAGAUAUCAGGAGGAACACCGGUGGCGAAGGCGGGUCUCUGGGCAGUAACUGACGCUGGAGGAGCGAAAGCCGUGGGGAGCGAACAGG
rnacentral:rRNA from 1 species